rnacentral:tRNA from 1 species
UUAAUUGAAACCAAACCAGCGGUAUGUUACUGUUAAUAACAUCAAUAGGAAAUUAUUCCUCAAUUAAA